rnacentral:lncRNA from 1 species
AGAACCAUAACAAAAACAUCAAAAGGAAUAAAAAAAGAGGAGAAUUUGAGAACCCAAUUUAACAAAAAUUAAAAUGAAAUUUCAGAUCUGUUAAGCCACUCGCUCUCCUUCUUGAGCUGCUCCGCGAGCGUCGUAGACUUUGCAAUGAAAGCGUGGGUGCGUUCGGAGUGUUUGACGGUGGCGGGGGCUGAAGCGGUGACGGCGAGGUUGUUGGGACGGUUGAGACCUUAUCGCAUGCGGCGUGUUUGGAGAGGCUGAAAAGUGGUUGUGGCGCCGGAGCGGUGGCAGCAACAGGUGGGUUACGCACAUGGUGAGGUGAAGUAGUUGGCCUUGUUCAUUGUUU